rnacentral:sRNA from 12 species
CACUCAUAUAACUUAAGGGUUAUGUGGUGGGACUAUUAAAAAAAGUAGUCAGCUUAUUUGUCCUGCGGAAGCAAAUACAUAUAGAGGUCUGAAAGUGUGUGAGUAGCAAAACGAAAGCACAAAUCAGC